ACGGGUGAGUAAUGCAUCGGAACGUGCCCAGUAGUGGGGGAUAGCCCGGCGAAAGCCGGAUUAAUACCGCAUACGACCUACGGGUGAAAGGGGGGGAUCGCAAGACCUCUCGCUAUUGGAGCGGCCGAUGUCAGAUUAGGUAGUUGGUGGGGUAAAGGCCUACCAAGCCGACGAUCUGUAGCUGGUCUGAGAGGACGACCAGCCACACUGGGACUGAGACACGGCCCAGACUCCUACGGGAGGCAGCAGUGGGGAAUUUUGGACAAUGGGCGCAAGCCUGAUCCAGCCAUGCCGCGUGCGGGAAGAAGGCCUUCGGGUUGUAAACCGCUUUUGUCAGGGAAGAAAUCUUCUGGGCUAAUACCCCGGGAGGAUGACGGUACCUGAAGAAUAAGCACCGGCUAACUACGUGCCAGCAGCCGCGGUAAUACGUAGGGUGCGAGCGUUAAUCGGAAUUACUGGGCGUAAAGCGUGCGCAGGCGGUUUUGUAAGACAGAGGUGAAAUCCCCGGGCUCAACCUGGGAACUGCCUUUGUGACUGCAAGGCUUGAGUGCGGCAGAGGGGGAUGGAAUUCCGCGUGUAGCAGUGA
rnacentral:rRNA from 1 species